GAUGAACGCUAGCUACAGGCUUAACACAUGCAAGUCGAGGGGUAACGAGAGGAAAGCUUGCUUUCUUUGUCGACGACCGGCGCACGGGUGAGUAACGCGUAUCCAACCUGCCCCCAACUAGGGAAUAACCUUGCGAAAGUAAGACUAAUACCCUAUAAUUUCCUCAGAUGCCAUCUGACGAGGAAUAAAGAUUUAUCGGUUGUGGAUGGGGAUGCGUCUGAUUAGCUUGUUGGCGGGGUGACGGCCCACCAAGGCAACGAUCAGUAGGGGUUCUGAGAGGAAGGUCCCCCACAUUGGAACUGAGACACGGUCCAAACUCCUACGGGAGGCAGCAGUGAGGAAUAUUGGUCAAUGGGCGGAAGCCUGAACCAGCCAAGUAGCGUGCAGGAUGACGGCCCUAUGGGUUGUAAACUGCUUUUAUACAGGAAUAAAGUUAGCCACGUGUGGUUAUUUGUAGGUACUGUAUGAAUAAGGACCGGCUAAUUCCGUGCCAGCCGCCGCGGUAA
rnacentral:rRNA from 1 species